GCCUUUGUAGUACAUAUAAUACCUUGGUCUUGUAAACCAAAAAAGGAGAGUACACCCUCCCUAAGGCU